UGCCAAGCAGCCGCGGUAAUUCCAGCUCCAAUAGCGUAUAUUAAAGUUGUUGCGGUUAAAAAGCUCGUAGUUGGAUCUCGGCGGGCAGGGGGUGGUUCGCUCUUCAGCGCUACUGCCCCGCUUUGCCCGUGUGAUUGGCGGAGGUUUCGGGGUGCUCUUCGUUGAGUGACUCGGAGCGCCGUCAGGUUUACUUUGAAAAAAUUAGAGUGCUCAAAGCAGGCUUUUCACGCUUGAAUAUUCGUGCAUGGAAUAAUGGAAUAGGAACUCGUUUCUAUUUUGUUGGUUUUCGGAAAUCGAGUUAAUGAUUAACAGGGACAAUUGGGGGCAUUAGUAUUCAGACGACAGAGGUGAAAUUCUUGGACCGUCUGAAGACUGACUACUGCGAAAGCAUUUGCCAAGAGUGUUUUCAUUAAUCAAGAACGAAAGUUAGAGGUUCGAAGGCGAUCAGAUACCGCCCUAGUUCUAACCAUAAACGAUGCCAGCUAGCGAUCUGCCGAGUUUUUUUUGUAGGCUCCGCAGGAAGCUUUCGGGAAACCAAAGCUUUUGGGUUCCGGGGGAAGUAUGGUUGCAAAGCUGAAACUUAAAGGAAUUGACGGAAGGGCACCACCAGGAGUGGAGCCUGCGGCUUAAUUUGACUCAACACGGGGAAACUCACCAGGUCCAGACUGGGUAAGGAUGUACAGAUUGACAGCUCUUUACAGAUUCUCAGGGUGGUGGUGCAUGGCCGUUCUUAGUUGGUGGAGUGAUUUGUCUGGUUAAUUCCGUUAACGAACGAGACCUUAACCUGCUAAAUAGCGUCGAGUUUCUCCGGAAACGAAGAUGUCUUCUUAGAGGGACGUCGCGUGUCUAACGCGAGGAGGUGUGAGGCAAUAACAGGUCUGUGAUGCCCAA
rnacentral:rRNA from 1 species